AGGAAAUUAAGUACGGAAGUUCCUGAUUUCACGCUGUCAAGAAAAGCCUCUAGGAAGAGUAGUACUGCCCGUACCGCAAACCGACACAGGUAGAUGAGGAGAGAAUCCUAAGGUGAGCGAGAGAACUCUCGUUAAGGAACUCGGCAAAAUGACCCCGUAACUUCGGGAGAAGGGGUGCUCUAUUAGGGUGCAAGCCCGAGAGAGCCGCAGUGAAUAGGCCCAGGCGACUGUUUAGCAAAAACACAGGUCUCUGCAAAACCGUAAGGUGACGUAUAGGGGCUGACGCCUGCCCGGUGCUGGAAGGUUAAGAGGAGUGCUUAGCUUCGGCGAAGGUACGAAUUGAAGCCCCAGUAAACGGCGGCCGUAACUAUAACGGUCCUAAGGUAGCGAAAUUCCUUGUCGGGUAAGUUCCGACCCGCACGAAAGGCGCAACGAUCUGGGCACUGUCUCAACGAGAGACUCGGUGAAAUUAUAGUACCUGUGAAGAUGCAGGUUACCCGCGACAGGACGGAAAGACCCCGUGGAGCUUUACUGCAACCUGAUAUGGAAUGUUUGUACCGCUUGUACAGGAUAGGUAGGAGCCGAAGAGACGUGUGCGCUAGCAUACGAGGAGGCAAUGGUGGGAUACUACCCUGGCUGUAUGACCAUUCUAACCCGCCACGCUUAGCGCGUGGGGAGACAGUGUCAGGUGGGCAGUUUGACUGGGGCGGUCGCCUCCUAAAGAGUAACGGAGGCGCCCAAAGGUUCCCUCAGAAUGGAUGGAAAUCAUUCGCAGAGUGUAAAGGCACAAGGGAGCUUGACUGCGAGACUGACAAGUCGAGCAGGGACGAAAGUCGGGCUUAGUGAUCCGGUGGUUCCGCAUGGAAGGGCCAUCGCUCAACGGAUAAAAGCUACCCCGGGGAUAACAGGCUUAUCUCCCCCAAGAGUCCACAUCGACGGGGAGGUUUGGCACCUCGAUGUCGGCUCGUCGC
rnacentral:rRNA from 1 species